GCUGGGUGUGGUGGCUCACACCUGUAAUCCCAGCACUUUGGGAGGCUGAGGCGGGUGGAUCACCUGAGGUCAGGAGUUCGAGACCAGCCUGACCAACAUGGAGAAACCCCAUCUCUA
rfam:Gorilla gorilla gorilla genomic chromosome, chr12, whole genome shotgun sequence